rnacentral:rRNA from 1 species
UGGGUUUGACAUGCACGGAUUAGUCCGGUGAAAGUCGGAUGACGCUCUUACGGGUGGAACGUGCAC